GGGGCUGUAGCUCAGAUGGGAGAGCGCCGCAAUCGCACUGCGGAGGUCAGGGGUUCGAUUCCCCUCAGCUCCA
rfam:Methylobacterium sp. Leaf456 contig_3, whole genome shotgun sequence.